rnacentral:lncRNA from 1 species
CAGGCUGGAUGUGCCACAGAGAUCUCAGCUCUUAGUCUGAAGAAGAGAUGGGUCUAGCAUGGGAGCCACCUUCAGCCUAUCCUAGAAAGGAGAGACAAGGCUUUUUCUUCUUGGCCCCAGUAGACAGACCUAGGAGGAACAAUAGGUGGAAAUGGCCAACAGGCCAAGUGAGGCUGAAUGUCCCAAAGAACCACCUAAGGGAGUGCUGUCUAUAGAUAGAAUGGGUUGCCUCCAAGUGGUGGUCUUUAAGCGACCCCUGGCCAAUUAGAGUGCACAGGAGAUUCCUGUCCAUGAAAGGUUAGAAGAGACCUGUCAGUCAGCUUCCAAAGAUGAAUCCAUGACGCUGAGAGACAGUCUUCUAGACCCAGAUAUCCAUCAAAUAUCAUAUUAUUUUAAAAUAAUUGGAGGAUUUUUGGAGAAAGAAGCCAGCUCCUUGAAGGCCCUUUGGGCCCACCCUCUGCCUGAUACAAGAAUCUACUUCAGUUCUUACAACAUCCGUGACCACGGUUUAGCUAGCAGAAUGCUUCCAGCCAUGGGACUCACUGCCUCCUGGACCUGAGAAACAAAUCCUCUCUAGCACUCUUUCUGGUUGCCUCCCUAAACCUGGAAGCUCUCCUUUCUCAUCUCUACCUCCUAACCUUCCUGACUUUUUUCAAGUUCCAACAAAAAUCCCACCUUCUAUAAGAAGUUUUAAUUCUAGCACCUUCCCUCUAUUAUUUAUUUCCUAUUUAUCCUUUCUUUAGCUUGUUGGUACAUAUUUAUUUGCUUGGUGUUUCUCCUAAUAGACUGUAAACUCCUGGAGGUGUAUAAAUGGAGAUUUUUGACCCCUAGACUUCAUUGCCCAGAGGUUCUUGGUAUUUCUCAGAAUUCCCUAUAACCUCUCCUGAGUCUCCACAUUGGCGAGAUCACAAUUGGUAUUUAACUGGCAGUAACACCUCCCAUGCUCUCUUCCUUUGCAAAUGAUGCAGCAAGUAUGGUGGUAAGCUAAGGGCAGGGAUUUUAAAUGGGCUAAUCAGCCAUGGGCACAUGGUUUUUAUUUUGUAUCCUCUUUAUUCCUUGAUUUUUAAUGAUCCUUAAUAAACCUC